UACGUAGGGUGCAAGCGUUAUCCGGAAUCACUGGGCGUAAAGCGUGCGUAGGUGGCGCGUUAAGUGAGAUGUUAAAUCGUGUGGCUCAACCAUAUCGAUGCAUCUCAUACUGGCGUGCUAGAGGACGGCAGAGGCAAGUGGAAUUGGUAGUGUAGCAGUGAAAUGCGUAGAUAUUACCAGGAACACCAAUGGCGAGGGCAGCUUGCUGGGCCACUCCUGACACUGAGGUACGAAAGCGUGGGGAGCGAACAGG
rnacentral:rRNA from 1 species